GAGCCGGGCAGGGCGCUCCGCUGCGGCCGGGCAGCGGUCGUCGUCCAGGCGCCGAGCAGCGGCUUCUGUCGCCCCAGUCGUGGCUGGAGCAGCGAAAAGGUGACUGGAAAAAUCAUGCGGGGAUCGCACCGAGGUGCCCCCCAACCCCACCCCGCGCUUCGGUGGUGAGAAACACGCAGCUCUCGAAAGGCUCCUAGCGAAAUGUCUUCGUCUCCCCCGCGACACGCGCGCCUUGAAACUUGUUGCCAGCUGGGGCUGCCCUGUGGAGGGAUUUCUGACUGAGGGACCUAAAUCUGCAGUCGUGCAAAAAUUAACUGCAGGAGUAUAAUUCUGGAAGACGCCUUAGGCGAUUGGUAGUCCGGUAAUUUCGACACCGCCGUUUUACGGAAUACGGACGGAUCUCUUGUGGCCUUACACAGUCGGAAAAGGCUUCCGAGCGCCCCGCGAAGUCCGGUGCCGUAGCCGGCCGGUCACGGCCUCCCGCACGCCUCCCCGGCGCUUACCACGAGGGACCUUGUGCCUUUCUUGAACGAUGCGUUUCAAGGGGCAAAACUUGUUUUAAUUGCGGCUGGGUCGGGGUCAUCUCUAAAUGAGCUUAAUGCUGGGGUCUGACCUCUCGGCUGGGAAAGGGCACUGGGGUUUUUGUGUGCAACUGCUCUGCAUUUCCCACUCUGCUGAGACACUUCGUGAUGAACUUGCGUGGAGACCGGGUGGUUAAUUUAGCAGCUGCAGUGCAGGCCCUGGGGCAGAAACGUGGGGAUCCCACCUGCGCUGAGAGAAGUGAAAGCCAGUGCUCUCCAGUGGCUUCCCUUCCUCUUAAGGUCUGAAUUUUGGCAGUGCUGCAAGCUGGAUCCGCAGGAUAACAUUACGCUGCCUGAAAGAGCAGAGUGUGACUCAGAAUAUCAGAGGGAGAUUUCCAGUUGUCCAGCAGAAAGCAUGGAUGUCUGCUAUCCUCUUCCCCUUUGGCUUUUGCCUAAAGAGAGUAAUGUAGACCUUCUUCUCAUACUUAUUCUGUGGAGACAAGCUGUGCUGGAGCAUUAUUUCUACCGUGGGAGAAAGGGUAUGUUGACUUCUUGUCACUAUUUCUGUGUGGCUGAAAGAGUAUGCAUAUGUAUACUAGAAUAAAAAUGCCUCUUUACAUUUGCAUUAGGGUGGAUUUGGCA